GCCAAAUUAUUGGAGGGGCUUCCAAUAGCUGGGCGCCUGUUCUACUACCCCGUGCUGCUGCUUAUAAUAUAUACACGACUUCUUUACGUGUUUUGCAAUAUUCAAAAUCAGUUCAUUAUUAGAUAAUCAAGAAAUUUCCACGAUCUGUUACAUAAUUUGAAGAAAUGAAUCAGUUGCACGUUUUCUUCUUUCCAUUUUUGGCUCAAGGACAUAUGAUUCCAACCUUGGACAUGGCCAAGCUUUUCAUUUCCAGAGGCGUGAAGACAACUAUAAUUGCCACUCCUGGAUUUGAUAAACAGGUAGAAAAUGCCAGGGAAUCAGGAUUCAACAUUGGAAUGCAUGUGUUGGAAUUUCCUCCAGAAAAAUCUGAGUUGCCUGAUGAAAUCAAGAGCCUUGAUCAAAUAUCAGAUGAUUUGAUGCCCACGUUCGCAGAAGCCCUGGAAUUGCUCCAGGAACCAGUUGAAAAACUCCCGGAAGAAUUUCAUCCAGAUUGUCUUGUUGCAGAUCCGUUCUUUCCAUGGGCUGCUGAUUCUGCAGCCAAAUUUGAUAUCCCAAGGUUGGUUUUUCAUGGAACGUGUUGUCUCUCACUAUGCUCUUCAGAACACAUGAGGAUUUACGAGCCUUUCAAGAAUGUAUCGUCGGAUUCUGAGCAAUUUGUUCUGCCCAAUCUUCCCCACGAACUCAAGUUUACAAGACUUCAAGUGAUGUUUCAUUUUGAUCAAGAAGAAACAGAAAAUGAUUUCACGAAGCGGUUUAUCAAAAUACAAGAAUCAGAGACCAGAAGCUACGGAGUUCUUGUAAACAGCUUCUACGAGCUGGAAUCUGAUUAUGCCGACCAUUACAGGAAAGUUUUGAGGAAAAAAGCAUGGCAUAUAGGCCCACUUUUGCUAUGGAGUAAGGGAGGAGAAGAAUAUAAAGCACAAAGAGGAAAAGAAUCCGCCAUUGAUGAACAUGAAUGCUUGGAAUGGCUCAAUUCCAAGGAACCAAAUUCUGUAGUUUAUAUCUGUUUUGGAAGUAUUGCAACCUUUACUGCAAAACAAUUACAUGAAAUUGCAAGGGGUCUCGAAAUCUCAGGCCAGAAAUUCAUUUGGAUUGUUAGAAAAGUCAAGAACCAAAAAGAAGACGGAAAAGAAAACUGGCUGCCGGAAGGAUUUGAGAAAAGAACAAAAGAUAAAGGACUGAUCAUUAGAGGUUGGGCACCCCAACUUUUGAUUCUUCAAAACAAAGCAAUAGGGGUGUUUGUAACACAUUGUGGAUGGAAUUCGAUGCUUGAAGGAGUGUGUUCGGGGGUGCCUAUGGUGACAUGGCCAGUUUUUGCAGAGCAGUUUUACAAUGAGAAAUUGGUGACAGAUGUCUUGAGAAUUGGAGUUUCUGUUGGGAGUAAGCAAUGGAAGAGAACGGGAAGUGAAGGCAUCGAAAGGGAAGCCAUAGACAAGGCGAUUCGGCACAUUAUGGAAGGAGAAGAAGGUUCAGAGAUGAGAAGCCGAGCACAAGAAUAUAAAGAGAAGGCAAGAAAGGCUGUUGAAGAAGAUGGAUCUUCUUACACUGACUUGAGUGCUUUGCUUGAAGAAUUGAGGGCGAUUAAGGUUGGCCAGUGAGACAAUAGGGAAAAGCUUCAUCCUCCAAAUGUGAAUCGUUCCUCUUAUUUCUCCAGGUCAAUAAUUAAAGAGAUAAUAUCGAUUUUUAUGGUUCAAGCUGCCUACCUUGGGCAGGAAAUCACAUAUACAACAAAAUGUUAUGGCAUAAUGAGAAGCAAACAUGUACAACAAAAUCCAACAUCUCCAACAAAAGACUGAACAAUGAACACACAUCCAUAACAAAGUUGAAGAAGCAAAGAGUAAAAUUAGACGUUCAGAAAUCAGAAAGGAAAACAACAGAUAUAGAGCCUCAUUAAACUCACACUUAGUAUAAGGCCGCCCGAUGGAGGCCUGGGAGAGAAGAUCGUUCUACAGUAACUUUCGCUCGAGGGGAUGAAGGGAAGAUCUCCAAUAUUUUAGCUAGAAUUUCUAGAUUCUAAUAAAUGCCAAAUAAGGGUACAUAUCUACCAAAUUUAUCGACACAAGUCGGCAUAAGAAUAAAGUUCCAAGUCUUGGGGGUCUUCUAGAUACUUAAAAUCCAAAUUUUGAAUUGGAUUGCCCAAUAGGAAUGCUUGUAAGAGAAAUCAUCAAAUAAUUAUCACCA